rnacentral:tRNA from 1 species
GAUCCGGUGGACAAACGGCUAAGUCACCGCGCUUUCAACGUGGACAUUGCGGGUUCGAAUCCCGUCCGGAUCACCA